UGGUGGGAGACAAGCUGGAAGAUAUGCAGGCGGCAGCGGCGGCAAAUGUCGGGACAAAAGUGCUGGUGCGUACGGGCAAACCGGUCACGGCAGAAGCAGAAAACGCGGCGGACUGGGUGUUAAACAGCCUUGCUGACCUGCCAUCAGCGAUAAAAAAGCAGCAAAAAUAAGCGUUAUGGAUAAAAGAUGAGCGGUUAAAACAAAAAUGCAUUUUUCCGCUUGUCUUCCUGAACCGACUCCCUAUAAUGCGCCUCCAUCGACACGGCGGAUGUGAAUCACUUCACACAAACAGCCGGUCGGUUGAAGAGAAAAAUCCUGAAAUUCAGGGUUGACUCUGAAAGAGGAAAGCGUAAUAUACGCCACCUCGCGACGGUGAGCUGAAAGCCGCGCCGCACCUGCUCUUUAACAAUUAAGUAGACCGCCUGGGGAGUACGGCCGCAAGGUUAAAACUCAAAUGAAUUGACGGGGGCCCGCACAAGCGGUGGAGCAUGUGGUUUAAUUCGAUGCAACGCGAAGAACCUUACCUGGUCUUGACAUCCACAGAAGAAUCCAGAGAUGGAUUUGUGCCUUCGGGAACUGUGAGACAGGUGCUGCAUGGCUGUCGUCAGCUCGUGUUGUGAAAUGUUGGGUUAAGUCCCGCAACGAGCGCAACCCUUAUCCUUUGUUGCCAGCGGUUAGGCCGGGAACUCAAAGGAGACUGCCAGUGAUAAACUGGAGGAAGGUGGGGAUGACGUCAAGUCAUCAUGGCCCUUACGACCAGGGCUACACACGUGCUACAAUGGCGCAUACAAAGAGAAGCGACCUCGCGAGAGCAAGCGGACCUCAUAAAGUGCGUCGUAGUCCGGAUUGGAGUCUGCAACUCGACUCCAUGAAGUCGGAAUCGCUAGUAAUCGUGGAUCAGAAUGCCACGGUGAAUACGUUCCCGGGCCUUGUACACACCGCCCGUCACACCAUGGGAGUGGGUUGCAAAAGAAGUAGGUAGCUUAACCUUCGGGAGGGCGCUUACCACUUUGUGAUUCAUGACUGGGGUGAAGUCGUAACAAGGUAACCGUAGGGGAACCUGCGGUUG
rnacentral:rRNA from 1 species